rnacentral:rRNA from 1 species
UACAGAGGUCUCAAGCGUUGUUCGGAUUCAUUGGGCGUAAAGGGUGCGUAGGCGGCGCGGUAAGUCGGGUGUGAAAUCUCGGAGCUUAACUCCGAAACUGCAUUCGAUACUGCCGUGCUUGAGGACUGGAGAGGAGACUGGAAUUUACGGUGUAGCGGUGAAAUGCGUAGAUAUCGUAAGGAAGACCAGUGGCGAAGGCGGGUCUCUGGACAGUUCCUGACGCUGAGGCACGAAGGUCAGGGGAGAAAACGGG